rnacentral:sRNA from 1 species
GGCUCUCCCUGUACCUGGGACACCUGCUGGAUGUCACCUCUGCAACCACACCCAUGUGGUGGUUUCAUGAACAAACCACGCUCCUCUGCCUUCUUCUGGCCUGGGACACACACAGCCACCCCAGCCUUCCUGGUAUCGCCAGCCUUAAGGUGUCUGGAGCCCCCACACUUGGCCAACCUGACCUUGGAAGAUGCUGCUGAGUGUCUCAAGCAGCACUGACAGCAGCUGGGCCUGCCCCAGGGCAACGUGGGGGCGGAGACUCAGCUGGACAGCCCCUGCCUGUCCCUCUGGAGCUGGGCUGCUGCUGCCUCAGGACCCCCCCUCCAACUCCGGACAGAGCUGAGCUGGCCAGGGCCAGGAGGGCGGGAGGGAGGGAAUGGGGGUGGGCUGUGCACAGCAUCAGCGCCUGGGCAGGUCCGCAGAGCUGCGGGAUGUGAUUAAAGUCCCUGAUGUUUCUCUUUG